rnacentral:sRNA from 1 species
GCUGGGCAUGGUGGUGCAUGCCUGUAAUCCCAGCAUCUCAGGAGGCUAAGAAGGCAGGAGGAUCGCAAAUUAAGGGCCAGCCUCAGUAACUUAGCAAGACCUUGUCUCAA